rnacentral:lncRNA from 1 species
UCUCUUUCCACGGUCUCCCUCUCAGCCGCCGAAGCUGGACUGUGCUGCUGCCAUCUCGGCUCACUGCAACCUCCCUGCCUGAUUCUCCUGCCUCAGCCUGCCGAGUGCCUGCGAUUGCAGGCGCGCGCCGCCACGCCUGACGGGUUUUCGUAUUUUUUUGGUGGAGACGGGGUUUCGCUGUGUUGGCCGGGCUGGUCUCCAGCUCCUAACCGCGAGUGAUCCGCCAGCCUCGGCCUCCCGAGGUGCCGGGAUUGCAGACGGAGUCUCCUUAACUCAGUGCUCAAUGGUGCCCAGGCUGGAGUGCAGUGGCGUGAUCUCGGCUACAACCUCCACCUCCCAGCCGCCUGCCUUGGCCCCCCAAAGUGCCGAGAUUGCAGCCUCUGCCCGGCCGCUACCCCGUCUGGGAAGUGAGGAGCGUCUCUGCCUGGCCGCGCAUCGUCUGGGAUGUGAGGAGCCCCUCUGCCUGGCUGCCCAGUCUGGAAAGUGAGGAGCGUCUCUGCCCGGCCGCCAUCCCACCUAGGAAGUGAGGAGCGCCUCUUCCCGGCCACCAUCCCAUCUAGGAAGUGAGGAGCGUCUCUGCCCGGCCGCCCAUCGUCUGAGAUGUGGGGAGCGCCUCUUACCGCCGCCCCUUCUGGGAUGUGAGGAGCGCCUCGGCCCGGCCGCGACCCCGUCUGGGAGGUGAGGAGCGUCUCUGCCCGGCCGCCCCGUCUGAGAAGUGAGGAGACCCUCCACCUGGCAACUGCCCCAUCUGAGAAGUGUGAGCUCUACAUUAUGCUGAGAUGGCUAUGUACAAGUAUAUCCAGAAUGACGGUGGAUACGUUGAAAGUCCAAUCAACUGUGCUAAAUCUUGAAUCAGUUCUCUCUGUUGCCUUUUGCAGGUUGUUUAAGUUUUGUAUAGAAGUGGAUAUUUUGAACAUUGAAACUGCACAAGGGCUUUAUGGUUGCUCUGCUCACCUCUAUUUCUUCUUCUCCUGCUAGGAAACCCCAUUAUCCUCAGAACAAGUCUCUCCACCUCCUGCUCUUGCCUGAUGCUGUAUGGCUCUGAUGGCUUGUCCUGUGUCCCCUUAGCCCAGGUGCUAAGUGGUCUCUGUUCCCUUAAAAUAACUGUUUUGGGAUGUUAUGGGUCCUGUUUUAAAAAUCCCCUCAUCCCUCUUCUUUUCUCUCUUCUAAAGGGCAGCCUUACCAUCUCCUUUUAAGAACAGAAGUCUUUUCUUUCUGCCUCUUAAAGUCAGUAGCUGGUUUGUCACCCAAUAACAAAAGCCCACAAUAUCCUGACCUCAAAGACUAGGAAGGUAGGUGGUGCUAAGGUCAGGGAUUGGGAGUCUUAGAGAGCCAGCAACACAGUGUCAUCUCUCUGAAAAGUAAAUUUCCAGUAGCUAGCAAGAGAUUUACAAAUGCUGAAAUCUCUUAGUCUACUAAUUCCUUUCAUACAAUCAAAGAUAUGUGCAAAGAUUUAUGUUCAUCAUACUGUCACUCCUCAUAGAGAAAAGCAUGGGAGUAACACCCAUGUCUGUCAGUAGGGCUUGGAUGGAUAAAGUCUAUUAUUGAGUCCUUUGCAAUCAUUCAAAAUCAUGUUUGAAUAUAAUAGAUGGGAAAAUGAUCAUACUAUAAUGCUAAUUGAAAAAAGAUAUAAAACUGUAUAUAUGUUCUCAUCUCAAAUUUUUAAAAAAUAAAAAUGUG